rnacentral:rRNA from 1 species
GCUUCGGCUCCUAGCGGCGAACGGGUGAGUAACACGUGGGCAACCUGCCCGCAAGCUCGGGAUAACUUCGGGAAACCGGAGCUAAUACCGGAUACGCUUUUCCUCUGCAUGGAGGAAAAGGGAAAGACUUCGGUCGCUUGCGGAUGGGCCCGCGGCGCAUUAGCUAGUUGGUGAGGUAACGGCUCACCAAGGCAACGAUGCGUAGCCGACCUGAGAGGGUGACCGGCCACACUGGGACUGAGACACGGCCCAGACUCCUACGGGAGGCAGCAGUAGGGAAUUUUCCGCAAUGGGCGAAAGCCUGACGGAGCAACGCCGCGUGAGUGAUGACGGCCUUCGGGUUGUAAAACUCUGUUCUGAAGGAAGAAGUCCUGACGGUACUUCAGGAGAAAGCCCCGGCUAACUACAUGCCAGCAGCCGCGGUAAUACGUAGGGGGCAAGCGUUGUCCGGAUUUAUUGGGCGUAAAGCGCGCGCAGGCGGCUCUUUAAGUCAGGUGUGAAAGGCUGCGGCUCAACCGCAGAGCUGCACCUGAAACUGGGGAGCUUGAGUACAGGAGAGGAGAGUGGAAUUCCCGGUGUAGCGGUGGAAUGCGUAGAGAUCGGGAGGAACACCAGUGGCGAAGGCGACUCUCUGGACUGUAACUGACGCUGAGGCGCGAAAGCGUGGGGAGCGAACAGGAUUAGAUACCCUGGUAGUCCACGCCGUAAACGAUGAGUGCUAGGUGUUGGGGAUUUCCCUCCUCAGUGCCGAAGUUAACACAUUAAGCACUCCGCCUGGGGAGUACGGCCGCAAGGCUGAAACUCAAAGGAAUUGACGGGGGCCCGCACAAGCGGUGGGGCAUGUGGUUUAAUUCGAAGCAACGCGAAGAACCUUACCAGGGCUUGACAUCCCGCUGAUCGGUCUAGAGAUAGACCUUCCCUUCGGGGCAGCGGUGACAGGUGGUGCAUGGUUGUCGUCAGCUCGUGUCGUGAGAUGUUGGGUUCAGUCCCGCAACGAGCGCAACCCUUAUCUUUAGUUGCCAGCAUUCAGUUGGGCACUCUAGAGAGACAGCCGGUGAAAG